rnacentral:rRNA from 1 species
GACGAACGCUGGCGGCGUGCUUAACACAUGCAAGUCGAACGGUAAGGCCCCUUUGGGGUGCUCGAGUGGCGGACGGGUGAGUAACACGUGAGUAACCUGUCCUGGUCUUUGGGAUAACCUUCGGAAACGGGGGCUAAUACCGAAUAUUCCUGCAUGAUCGCAUGGUGGUGUGGGGAAAGCUUUUGUGGAUCAGGGUGGGCUCGCGGCCUAUCAGCUUGUUGGUGGGGUGAUGGCCUACCAAGGCUUUGACGGGUAGCCGGCCUGAGAGGGCGACCGGCCACACUGGGACUGAGACACGGCUCAGACUCCUACGGGAGGCAGCAGUGGGGAAUAUUGCACAAUGGACGGAAGUCUGAUGCAGCGACGCCGUGUGAGGGAUGACGGCCUUCGGGUUGUAAACCUCUUUCGGCCAGGACGAAGCCUUUUGGGGUGACGGUACUGGUAGAAGAAGCGCCGGCCAACUACGUGCCAGCAGCCGCGGUAAAAC